rnacentral:rRNA from 1 species
UACAGAGGGGGCAAGCGUUAUUCGGAAUUAUUGGGCGUAAAGGGCGCGUAGGCGGCCUGGCAAGUGACGGGUGAAAGCCCUCGGCUCAACCGAGGAACUGCCUGUCAUACUGCCGGGCUUGAGUCCGGGAGAGGUGAGUGGAAUUCCCAGUGUAGCGGUGAAAUGCGUAGAUAUUGGGAGGAACACCAGUGGCGAAGGCGGCUCACUGGACCGGAACUGACGCUGAGACGCGAAAGCGUGGGGAGCAAACAGG